UCAAAUUCAAAACACCCCACAGAACUUCUCCAGUCUUCUUGAACCAGAAAAACAGAAGAAAAAUGGAAGAAUUAGAUUCCAAUCACACCCUUGAAACUCCAUCAUCAUCAUCAUAUCAGAAUCGAAUCAAACUCAACGUUGGUGGUAAAAUUUUCGAAACCACAAUCUCAACACUCCAAUCAGGCGGUCCGGAUUCACUCUUAUCAGCUCUUUCUUCACGGCUUAAUCCCAACCCUAACCCGAACCCUGUUUUUAUAGACAGAGAUCCGGAGAUCUUCUCAACUCUUCUUUCUCUGCUCCGAUCGAAUCGUCUUCCUUCAACAUAUCGCCGGUAUACUAAACAAGAAUUAUGCGAAGAAGCUGUUUAUUACGGGAUCGAAAAUCAAUUAAAAUCAGCGUUAUUACCGCCUUCAUUAUUAGGGAUCGAUUGUUCGAUUGUUGAAACGAUAAAACCUGCUGCCGAGGGUUUUCCGAGUAGUUUUACAGCGGGAGCCGGAGAUGGUUCCGUUUGGAUAGCACAUGGUGGUCAGAUAUCUGGUUAUGAUUGGAAUUUGAUACAUACGGGGACUGUAAGAAGUCAUUUUGAAGAUAUUAGUUCGAUUCGUCGAGUUUGGUCUGAAAUCGUUGCUGUUGGGUCUGAAAUUGAUUCAGGUCUUCAUUUGUAUGAUGUUUCAUGUGGUAAACAUGUAGGUGCUGUUGAAUGGACUGAUAAAUCUGAUCCAAGAAUUUAUAAGAGUCGUGUUUUCGCCAUUACUGAUUCAACUGACUCGAUUUACGGUUCAUUGAAAUGUUCACAUGGUGAAAAUUGUGUUCUUCAGAUUGAUAAAAAUACGCUUCAAGUGGUGUCGGAGAUUGGUCGUCAGUCUGGUAACUCAGCAAAGAGUUUUGUUCCUGGGAAGCUGAUGUAUGUGCCGCAACUCGGCAUGAUUGUUGGAAGUGCAGUGACUUGUGGCGCAUUUGGGUAUUCAGGGUACAUUAGAAUUUGGGAUCCAAGGUCUGGUAAUGAGGUUUGGGAAACGAAUGAGCCGGGUUCGGGACGGAGCAGUAGGUUUGGGGAUUCGUUUGCGGACGUGGAUGUGGAUGUUGAUGAGUUAACGAUGUCUAAAGUUUGUUCGAAAUCAGGUGAUGUCGCAAUUGCGGAUUUGCGGAAACUGACGGAUGAUCCGUGGGUGUAUUUGGAAGAAAAGAAUGCUAGUUUGAGAAGCUCAAGAGGUGGUGGAGGUGAAGAAGGGGAUAAUAUGGUGAUUCAUUGUUAUAAGAAACAAGUGUUUUUGAGUAGAGAAGGUGAUUUAGAAGUAUGGUCAAGUGUGAAUCAGAAAGAAGAAGAAAACAGGGAAUUGGACAAAUGGUAUUACAGGAGGAACUAUAUGGGCAAUAGUACCAAGGAACAUGAAUUGAGUAGUAGUAAUAAAGGGAUUGUAAAGAGAAUUGAAGGUGGUGGUGAUAGGUUAUUUGUUAACAGAGAAGGUGUUGAGGGAGUUGAAGUAUGGGAAAGCUCCAAUUUUUCCAAGAAGGUUGCAGUUUUGUGAUACCACAGUUCAACAAUGUUUUACAGCAACUGGCAUGAACUACCUUAUGGCACAGUGGCUUUGGCUUCCGGCUUAGUACUUGGGCGGGGAAUUUGAAUGUAAAGAGAAAAAUGCAAACAAGAUCGUUCCUAUGAAUCCUAUUAUAAUUAUCAUGGUACACCUAGUACAGUCUUAUGGCUAAAGUUGAAGGAACUUAAGCAGAAGUUGAAGACAUGGAACAAGGAGGUGUUUGGUCUUACCAACAUAAAACUGAACUUGAUUCUAGCAAAAAUCCAAGACAUUGAUAAGUUUGCAGAAGACAAUAUUUUGUCAGAAGAAGAUGAAAACGUGGAGGUACCAAAAUACA